GAACUCACUUCUGCGGUACAUAUACUAAAAUAGGAACGAUACAGAGAAUAUUAGUAUGGCCCCUGCGCAAUGAAAACCCCCAAAAUCAUGAAGCGUUCCACAUUUCU